CGUGGGUAACCUGCCCAAGAGAUCGGGAUAACACCUGGAAACAGAUGCUAAUACCGGAUAACAACAGAUGAUGCCUAUCAACUGUUUAAAAGAUGGUUCUGCUAUCACUCUUGGAUGGACCUGCGGUGCAUUAGCUAGUUGGUAGGGUAACGGCCUACCAAGGCGAUGACGCAUAGCCGAGUUGAGAGACUGAUCGGCCACAUUGGGACUGAGAUACGGCCCAGACUCCUACGGGAGGCAGCAGUU
rnacentral:rRNA from 1 species